rnacentral:ncRNA from 2 species
CUAGUGUCGCAGGGCCUUGGUGUACGGGAAACCGGUGCGGUACCGGUGCGGCCCUCGCCACUGUGAUCGGGAGUUCCGGCUCCACACUCGGGGGAGACACCCUCGGGCAAGCCACUGGACCGCCGCGGUGUGGGAAGGCGGAGUCGGGACGUAUGACCGUCAGCCAGGAGACCGGCCAGGGUGCGUUGUCCAUC